UUAUAACCUGAAGUUAAUUCAAGAAAUUUUAUUCCUCCAUAAAAUAAAAUCCAUAGCACUUUGAAAAAGUUAGUGCUGCAAGCUCAAUGAGAAUACAUUUCUACAAAGAAUAAACACUCAGUAAAUUCUCAUAAUAAAAAAAACAGACCAUAGCUUAAUCUCUCAGAUAACAAGGAAACUUUCUUAUGAGUUAAUUAUACAGAUUAACUUUAUAAUAUUUUCAAUUCCCAAAGUAUUUUAAAGUAUAGUCUUAUAUUGGUAUGAAUGUAUGUAGAAUAAGAUGAAGUUCUAAUAAUUUUUAUUAACUUUAAGAGUAUAUUAAUAUUGAUUUAGCAGUAAUUAUAUGAGAAAUUGACCAGGAUAAUCUUCAGUUCCAGCAAUGUGGGAGAUCACAUUAAUAAUAACAUUUUUAAAAAUAGUAAAAACAAGUUUAAAAAACUGUCAAAGUUAAGAAAUUAUUGACUCAUAUAUAAAACAAUGAAUUGCAGUUGAAUAAUCUCAAGUUAUGACAGGCUAAACUAGAAAAACAAAAACAAGAAACUCUCUACUAGCACAGGGAUCUAUCUUCUAUCUAUCUUCCAUCAUCUAUCUUCUCGCUCCCUAGGCGCUGGGUCUCCAGAUCAUUGAAAAACAAGGGACUUCAUGGCGUUUGGGGUUUGGAUUUCCAUUGUUCACACUACAUAAGAACAUCUGCUUCUCUCCCCAUAAUCAAAUGUUUAAAGUAAAAUUUGUUCUUGACUAAUGAUUCUCCAGAGGGUCAUAGUUGAAGAAGUUUUCACAGAAAAGCAAGCCCACCAAAUGUGUGCAAAAAUUAAAUGCGUUAUUAAAAUUCUAUGAAAACACAAGCUGCCAUGACUGAGAAGUGCGCUGAAUGAAUACAGCACAGGGGUGCAGAAAACAUGGAAGAUUGUUUAAGAGACCAGGAGAUGAGGGUGUGAAGCCCUGGCUGCAUGUCUAACAAGAAUCAGAGAAGAGAAGCUGAGGAAGAAAAGAAAGACUCAGUUAAGCAACAGAAGUAACGAGUGCAACACACAUGGGACAACAGAGAGUUUACUGUUCACAAUUAUUCUUGAAAAAAAUAUUUUAAUAUGUUCUUCAUGAAGAUGGAACUAAAAUCCAGAGGGAAAAAAGAAUAAAAUGCAAGACUCUGUGGUGAAGAAGUAAAUUUGUAUAUAUGUGGGUAAUAUAAAAAUUAAUUUUCUAAUAUUAAAAAUAAAAAAUUAUAAAACUGUAAUUAAGAUCAAUAUAAUGUAUAAAUUGGAGGGAUAUGGAGAGAAAGCGAAAGUGUAUUUUGGAGAAACAGAAUGUAUGGGAUUCCAAACCAGCAGAGCUAAAGAAUACAAAAUCAAGAAAAAUAACUGAUCAAAUAGAUGAAGGGAAAAAAGCACAACAAAUACGCACCACUAAAUUAGAUAAUAAAAAUAAAUCUAGGGCCAGUCCUGGUGGUCUAAUCGUUAACAUCUAGCGCUCUCUGCCUCAGCAGCUCGGGUUUGCUUCCGGGUCGCAGAAUCACCCCGCCCGUAUGUCAGUUGCCAUGCUGUGGUGGUGGUUCAUAUAGAAGAAUCAGAAGGACUUAGAACUGAGAUGUACAACCAUCCACUGGGGCCUUAGGGGGAAGAAGGAAAAAAAGAAGAGG
ensembl:lncRNA